AGUGAACGCUGGCGGUAGGCCUAACACAUGCAAGUCGAACGGCAGCACAGUAAGAUCUUGCUCUUACGGGUGGCGAGUGGCGGACGGGUGAGGAAUACAUCGGAAUCUACUUUUUCGUGGGGGAUAACGUAGGGAAACUUACGCUAAUACCGCAUACGACCUACGGGUGAAAGCAGUGGAUCUUCGGACCUUGCGCGACUGAAUGAGCCGAUGUCGGAUUAGCUAGUUGGCGGGGUAAAGGCCCACCAAGGCGACGAUCCGUAGCUGGUCUGAGAGGAUGAUCAGCCACACUGGAACUGAGACACGGUCCAGACUCCUACGGGAGGCAGCAGUGGGGAAUAUUGGACAAUGGGCGAAAGCCUGACCCAGCCAUGCCGCGUGGGUGAAGAAGGCCUUCGGAUUGUAAAGCCCUUUUGUUAGGAAAGAAAAGCAGCAGGUUAAUACACGGCUGUUCUGACGGUACCCAAAGAAUAAGCACCGGCUAACUUCGUG
rnacentral:rRNA from 1 species